CCCAAACGCCAUUGUGUCAGCUAGCGACGAGUGAGCGGCAUCAGCCCAGCUUUGAAACCUCCUCGGAGGGUUGUAAGGGGCAAGGCAGGCGCAUUGGCAGCAAGUUGCUUGGAACAGCACGCCGCAAAGGGUGAGAGCCCCGUGUGCCAGCGCGCCGCCGUCUUGCCCGGACGAGUCGAGUUGUUUGGGAAUGCAGCUCCAAUCGGGUGGUAUACUCCAUCCACGGCUAAACAUCAGCGAGAGACCGAUAGCAAACAAGUACAGUGAUGGAAAGAUGAAAAGCACUUUGAAAAGAGAGUGAAAGAGGACGUGAAAUUGGGAGGAGGGAAGGGUAGGCGGGGAACGACGACGGGCUGCGGAGCCACAACAAGCAGCGGCGGAAUCCGGCAAACGUAGGUUCAGGCCUCGGCGUGGACUGUUAUAUUGCCGGAGGUUAGCCGCGCGGGUCCGCAGCGCGCCUGGUCCCCGCCCACCACCCGUCUAAAAAACCGGGGACCAAAA
rnacentral:rRNA from 1 species